rnacentral:rRNA from 1 species
ACGUAUGGAGCAAGCGUUAUCCGGAUUUACUGGGUGUAAAGGGAGCGUAGGCGGUCCUGCAAGUCUGAUGUGAAAACCCGGGGCUCAACCCCGGGACUGCAUUGGAAACUGUAGGACUAGAGUGUCGGAGGGGUAAGUGGAAUUCCUAGUGUAGCGGUGAAAUGCGUAGAUAUUAGGAGGAACACCAGUGGCGAAGGCGGCUUACUGGACGACUACUGACGCUGAGGCUCGAAAGCGUGGGGAGCAAACAG